CAGGAUGCUACGACGGAGGUACGGAUCUGGGCAAUUUGUAGCUCCAGUGUCCCAAAUGCUAAUUUAAAAAAAGGGAUGUGGUGCUACGAAUCAAUGGGCCGCUGCAUUUGUCUAUCGUGGUUGGUAUCACGCCAUUCAUUUUCUCCCAGCCUCGUUUAGCGACUCUACACAAAGAAAGGGGCUGCUGUCAGAGAAAGUCCCCAAUGAAACAUACAUUAGACGAUGUGGGAAUUGUGGUCCGGAUAAAGAAGAAAACAGAGUGAAUACUGAAAGGAAAUAAAAAAGAAAGGAUAAUAACAAAAAAAACAGAAAAAAAGAAAAAAGAAAAAAAAGGAAAUGUAGUUUGUUAGCCGAUAUAUAUUCUAUCUCACAAGAUAUGAACAGAGUGAGGGUAUGUAUUAAACCAUGCAAUGAUGAAAUUGCAACACGCAAGCAGCUCAAACAUAGAAGGCCAAUGAAUCUAAGAAUGAAAAGAAAGGAAAAGAAGGCUGGGAUGGCAGGUAGAGGCAAGAUCCAAAAAGAAAAUGUAACCACGCUGCAAAAAGAAACCGCCCGCGAUCCAGCCUAAAAUAUGCUGACAAAUAACCCUUAGAGAUUUUCACGCAGUUGUAGCUGUUGGCGAAACUUUAUUAGACGGUGCAGACGCCGGUUCAGGAACCUUUUCAUUGUCCACUUCCACAGAAGCAAGGCCCGCCGCGGUGGCCGAAUCUGUGUUUGCUCCGCCCCCAUCACCAUUCACCACUCUCUCUUUCUCAGCAAGCGCUUCAACACCUGUAGCUCCAGCUCCAAAACCGUCAUCACCCUGGCUAUGUUCCUUCUUCGGAAGAGUGAUAGCCCUCCUCCGAUCUGCCCCAUCCACACUCCCCAUAAUCUCCGCAGUUUCGUUAUUCCACACGACAGGUCCCUUGACGAAAUCCCUCCUUGUAUCCCCGAUGGCGGGCGUGGUGAGGUCUGUGGCGGAGACAUCGUUUACACCCCGUUCUCCAACGCGUGUCAAGAUGCCUGCAAGUUCUUUCGCCGGCUCAUCGAGUGACGGCAUGUCACCCCAAUUCCAGUCCAGCUCGCCACCGAACUGCUUUGGGAUGUUGCAGGGUUCCAUGAAGGUGCUGAGGGUGGAUUUCACUUCGGAUGCGGACAGGAUGAAGAUCUUUGACGUUGUCACAGGGUCGAACCAGCGCUUGAUCCAGCCCCAGACGGUGGGAAAGAAGACGGGGGCUCCGAUUAUCUGCGGUUUUGUUAUGUUAGUUCGAUUCUACGCUUUCAAUUGUAUCGCUGAAAAUAACAAUUCAUUUUUUUUCAUUUCCCCUUCCUUUCGGAGGAAAGUGCUUGCUGCUUUUGUAUAUCCGUAUGUCCGUAUGUCCGUUUUGAGAUAGGCGAAACCGCCAACAAACAAGGCACGGAGUCAACGUUGAGCGGAACAGCAUGUGACAAAAAAGAAAGAAAGACAAGGACAGGAAGAAAGGGAUGAACGAAAGCAAAAGCUCCGAUCGACAAAAAAACAAAUCUCCACAUACAAAUAUCCUAUCCAAAGUCUCCGGAUAAUGCGCUGUCGCCAAGGCACUCGCAUCCUGCAUAUGACCCUUCAAAUUCCAAAACUGCUUCAGUCCCACCCCUGAAAUGUCCACGAUAUUCGUCGUGUUCACAACUGGAGUCUCAGGGUGGGGACGCCCCAGAUCACUGCACAACGGUAGCACAAACUGGGUCAUGUUCUCGUACAGGGCAAAGAGACGGAGUAAUCGUGGGAGUACUUUGGAGGAGGUGUGGGUUGCAGAUGUCUUGCCCGCUGAGGCACUGGACGAGUAGGCUGCCAUGUUCUUGCUGUUUAGGUCCUUUAUCACGUAAACGUAUAUGGGGAUCCCGCGACGAUCUCGCCGGCCGGUCCAUUGAGGAUACUGGAUAAAAAGACAAAGAAGGUAGACGUCAGUCACCCUGAAAGUCAGGGGAGUUCAAUCAACAGGGCGACAUUGAAGGGGAGAUCGGAGUUUUAGGAAAACCCGAUAAAUGAAACAAAUUUGCUGACCACUCUGCGAGCAUCUUCAUAUGAAUCAAUAUCGAAAUUCCGGUACAACGCAUCGAUCUGGUUCGUCUUGCGCCAUUCUUCUGUGUCCCGGAACUGAUCUAGGGCACCCUGCACGUCGAAUCUACGCGCGCGAAGAAAUCGCCUAUAUUUGCAGACAUGGCAAAAGCAAAAAAAGAGAAAAACGGUUAGAUCGUAGACAGCCAAUUGGAUCUUUUGCGUCAGAACCCUCCCUUUCCCUCACUGCUCCUGGUAGGGGUUUCCAAGAGAAAACAACCCCGGAUAAUACAACAAAGAUGCCCCAUAACCACCUUCUCCCCUUGGCAUACAGAAAGAACACCAACAUUGUGGAUAGAUAAUAUUAGGUGGGCAGUGCGUACAGCAAAGUAGAAUCAUCAUGGCUGGCACGAGCUCCACCAUGCGCUUCGGUAUAUAGUUGUUCCUCCUUCAAGACCAAUUUGAAGCUUGUCAGCGCUUCCGACUGCUGCGGUGAUAGGUGGUUUAGGAAACCCAGCAGCGGAUCUGGACCUUCACUGUCCUCUCCCUUGCUGGCCUUUGCAGCAGCCGCUUCGAACGACUCAGUCUUGGUGACUGGGGGAAGUUCCUGCGAUUGUAACUGUGAGUGUGACUUGGGAUGGGAAUGAGAGCUUUUUAUCGAGUGCCGGCUGUGGUUGGAUCGGCUGGUGGCAGUUCGUGAGAGGGUCAUGUUUAUUUAUUUUCGUCGUUGGGGUAUUCUGGAGUUUCUAUUAUCUUUUUCUUUUCUUUUUAUCUUCGUCCCCCGUUUCUGCCUCCUUGACUUUCUAUGUUCUUGUGUAUGAUUCCUCUAUUGGGGUAUAUCGCAUGAAGGGUUUCUUGUAUAAGGCAGCCGUUCUCCAGACAAGAGACACAGCAAACACGGCAGUUCUGUGCAAGGGUAUCUGCGAAGAAUCUAUCUCGCCAGUCAGCGAAGGAAACAAUAAGAUGGGCAACGAUACGGAUGAGGGUGAGGAUGCAAAGCACAAGCCCUGGUGGCCUUGUUGACGGGCUCCAGCGGGUCUCAGCCUCGAGAUGUCCUCAGCUCGCUACUCGUUAGUGCGGAAGGAUUGGUAAUACCCAGCGGUUGUCACGGAUAUAACACGGCGGCGGCUCGCUCCGGGCGGCACAUCCGAGCUCCGUGCCCGAGCAUCGCCCGUGGCAAGCCCUACAAGCCCUACAAGCCUUACAAGCCUCACCUCACAGGCAAGAGAUGGAUAGCUGGAUGAGUCAAGAUGCCAUAGUUAUUUGCUUUUGGAAGGACUGUUGUUUCAAGCAAACUGACUUGGUGUCAAAAUCUACAUGCAACAGCGAAGCCAAUACAAAAUGUCUGGCCAUUGAAAAUUUAUGACUGUAUAUUUUUAUCCACCGAGUCAUUUUCCAAGAGUUAAGAGUUUUUUUUCCUUUUUCUUUUCCUUGUUCUUUCUUUUCUUUUUUUCCUGCAUGAUGGAGCUCGGUGUCUAAAUAUGAUUGGGCUUAAACGCCACACGGCAUACCUCGGAGCAUUUUUACUCUAUUUUUAGUCCUCCGUCAGAUCUCCAUAUUCCCACAUGCCCUUGCGCCCCUCUUUUGCCUCGUUUUGCAGUUUCUCGAGAUGCGCCAGCGUCUCUGUCGACGACCGUUCCCAUUCCUUGAGCUUGCGCGGGACCAUCGCGAGUCCCUCACUGAUUACGUCGGCAUUAAUGCUGUGCUCCAGACUCUUAGAUUCGGCCGGGUCCAUCAGAGUAACAUGCAAUGUCCCAUCGGGCGCCGUGUAGUCGACAUUCGCAACUAAUUGGCGAUCCAAUGUCCGUUCACCAAGGUAUCCCACAGCAUCACGGAGGUAUUCGGGAGACGCGGGGAGUUGCAAGAAGGAGAGAACUGUAUCGGUGGCUUGGGGUCGAAUUUUCUGCACGGAAAACUGCGGCUGCGUGAGAGGCCGGAGGCGGGUCCACGGAACGGUUUCGGAGUUGCCGUAGUCGAUGUAAACGACGUCGGCUUUUUUCGCUUCACGGUCGUUUCUCCGUAUUUUUGCGCGGUACCACUCGUUGUCCUCCGUGAACCUGGCCGCGACUAGAUCUCCGGCCUUGGGUGGGCCGCUCAGAGCAGUGUCGUUCGCCUUGUUGAGGUGGAAGGCUCGGAACGCGCUCAUCAUCUCGGUGAGGGCUGUUGUGCCGGCGCCGAUUUGUUGGAUUUUUAGCUUUCCAUUUUCGUCUACAUUCGUGACCAUCACAUCGCGGUAGUCCUUUUUGCGCUGCUGGGGAGCGUCUGCGCCGGCUUCUGCGCCAUUCUUUCCGUUCGUGGCAACGGUCUCGCCCUCCUCAAGAUCCUUGCUUGGAUCCCAGUCAUGCCACAAGCCUUUUCGGGCCUCUUUGGCUUUUUUCUCCGCUGCGAACAGCUCUGCAGCGUGACCUCCUUGCUCAGCAGAAUAGGCAUGGACAGUCGCAAGGCCUUCUUCAACAAGAAUCUUGGAAAAGCUUUCUCUGUUGAUAUAGAGACUGCCGAUGAAUCCACCGACCUUGUCAAUUGUCUCGACGUCUAUUUCAACGUCGCGUUGCAUACAUCUUCGGUAGGCGAAGUCAUGGGCUUCUUGCCCGAACGGCUCCCCAGUCUCUCCUGGGUUCCUCGCCGAUCUGGGAGCCCGGAUGCCGGAAAGGACCAGUGUGAGCUUAGCAUUAUCUUUAGGAAGUAGGAUGGUGAAGCGAGAGCCGGAUUUUACGAAAUCAACAACACCAGGCACCUUCCUCUGCCGCUGGAGCACGGAGGCCUGAAUCUUCGCCUUUUGCACAUUCUCGGAGUAGUCCUGAGGCGCUCUAACGGUUGGGGGCUUAGAAGACCACAUUCCUUUCCCCUCCUUCUGAGCUGCUUCUUCCGCACGGAGUAGAUCAUCGUAUUCAGGAGACCGGUCGUCAUCAUCCCGGCGAUGGCGGAUGACGGAUGCGUAACCAGCCUGCACGAGGGCCAAUGCAAUGUUUGUGUUUCCAGACAUGACCGUACCAACCUCCCGUUCCUCGUAACCUUCCGAUGCGGGUCUUUUUCCAUCAAUUUUUACUUUGACGUGUUUACCGAUGAGCUUCUUGCGCAUAAAUUCCUUAGCCUCUAAGAUGAAAGGUGCCUGCUUAGGGUCGGAUGUUCUUGGAUGUCUGACGCUGCUGAGGCUUAUCCGCUUCUCAUCCUUUCCUGUCUUCGUUCGAACAAAAAUGGUGUCUGCACUAAACACUCGAGUCACAACAUAAUCCGCUUGCGCAGCGCCGGCGCCAACUUUGGGCGCGUUGUGGCUCAUAAAUAAUCCUUUUCGCGCUUCUUUCGCGGCGUUCUCGGCCUGUCGUAGAGUAGUCAUGUCCUUUCCGAUCAUAGUAGAAUGGUGGUCGGCGCAUCGGGCCAGGCCAGCUUCGAGAAGGAACUUAGCGAUGUUGCCAUUAGGAUGGAGGACGCCGGCAACGAGUUGAUUUUGCGGUGUCACACCAAGCAGCGAGAUCUUAACUUUUCUCUGGAGUAGCCGGAGCUCCACAAACUGCUGAGCCUGUUCUCCAAGCGGUUCUCCCGGUUGUUCUGUGCCGUCUGGGUUCGUUCGUUUCGUUGCCGGAGCCCGGAUACCAGCAACCACAACCAAUGUUUGGAUAUGUUUAUGCGGGGCAACAAGUAACCUGACGAUCAGGCGGUCACCGCUAAGUACCCUUUCCACAACUGCAGCAAUUUGGUUCCCCUUUUCGCUCUCAAUCAGUGCCUUUAGAUCUGGUACUUCAUAAGCAGUCUCGAGUUCCCCGCCAGUCGACACCCACACGCCCUUUGAUUCCGACCGCGCACGGUUUUCAAGUUCCCGCAGUUUGUCCACCGUCGCCACAAUAUCCUCGGACUCUUCCCGCUUGCCCGCAUCCUCACGCACUUUGACCCAUCCUUCCGCAACGCAGAGCUCUGGCAAUUCCUGAUUAUUAUGAAGUUUCACGAUGCCGUAUUCCCGUUUCGUGGUGGGGACGGUGUAGAGCACCUGGAACUUAACGACCUUGCCCACAAGCAAUUCGCGUAGGAAUUCUCUAGAUUGGAAGGCAAAUGGCUGUGCCGUGAGGGCAAAAUAAUAUUACUCGUUAGUAGAGAACCAUCAAACACCGCAGAGGGGCAUGACGAGCAACUGAACAGGGACCCCAUGCAAGGGGCAACCAGGGGAAAUAUCAAAUUUUACCUCGUCACCCUCUCUUCGUAACCGCGGAGCGGACACAUAGGCCAAGCUCAGCGUUCGUUCCUGGCUGCGGUUGAUGACAUGUGUCAAGAUGAGGGUGUCACCAGACAGAACGGUCUUGACGCGGGCUUCCAGGAGAGACAUGGUGAGGGCGAACGAUGGAGAUGCACUGAGCGGGUAGGUAUACAGGAGUAAAUGGUGUGGGAAG
rnacentral:sRNA from 2 species